UGAGGUAGUAGGUUGUAUAGUUUUAGGGUCAUACCCACCACUGGGAGAUAACUAUACAGUCUACUGUCUUUC
rnacentral:pre_miRNA from 3 species